rnacentral:tRNA from 1 species
GGGAAUGUGGCCUAGUGGUAGAGUGCUUGCCUAGCAUGCAUGAAGCCUGGGUUCGAUUCCUCAGUACCA